AUUGAACGCUGGCGGCAGGCCUAACACAUGCAAGUCGAGCGGAUGAAGGGAGCUUGCUCCUGGAUUCAGCGGCGGACGGGUGAGUAAUGCCUAGGAAUCUGCCUGGUAGUGGGGGAUAACGUCCGGAAACGGGCGCUAAUACCGCAUACGUCCUGAGGGAGAAAGUGGGGGAUCUUCGGACCUCACGCUAUCAGAUGAGCCUAGGUCGGAUUAGCUAGUUGGUGGGGUAAAGGCCUACCAAGGCGACGAUCCGUAACUGGUCUGAGAGGAUGAUCAGUCACACUGGAACUGAGACGCGGUCCAGACUCCUACGGGAGGCAGCAGUGGGGAAUAUUGGACAAAGGGCGAAAGCCUGAUCCAGCCAUGCCGCGUGUGUGAAGAAGGUCUUCGGAUUGUAAAGCACUUUAAGUUGGGAGGAAGGGCAGUAAGUUAAUACCUUGCUGUUUUGACGUUACCAACAGAAUAAGCACCGGCUAACUUCGUG
rnacentral:rRNA from 1 species